GCCUUUGUGGUGUAGCGGUCAGCACACUGGACGCGUUACGGAGAGGUCCGUGGUUCGAUUCCCGGCGAAGGCG
rnacentral:tRNA from 1 species